ACUCGAGUGGCGAACGGGUGAGUAACACGUGGGUGAUCUGCCCUGCACUUCGGGAUAAGCUUGGGAAACUGGGUCUAAUACCGGAUAGGAGCCAUCUUUAGUGUGGUGGUUGGAAAGUUUUUCGGUGUAGGAUGAGCUCGCGGCCUAUCAGCUUGUUGGUGGGGUAAUGGCCUACCAAGGCGGCGACGGGUAGCCGGCCUGAGGGGGUGUACGGCCACAUUGGGACUGAGAUACGGCCCAG
rnacentral:rRNA from 1 species